rnacentral:rRNA from 1 species
UAGGGAAUAUUGGACAAUGGGGGCAACCCUGAUCCAGCCAUGCCGCGUGAGUGAAGAAGGCCCUCGGGUUGUAAAGCUCUUUUGUCCGGAAAGAAAAGCAUUCGGUGAAUACCCGGAUGUUCUGACGGUACCGGAAGAAUAAGCACCGGCUAACUUCGUGCCAGCAGCCGCGGUAAUACGAAGGGUGCAAGCGUUACUCGGAAUUACUGGGCGUAAAGCGUGCGUAGGUGGUUGUUUAAGUCUGAUGUGAAAGCCCUGGGCUCAACCUGGGAGUGGCAUUGGAAACUGGGCAGCUAGAGUGCGGUAGAGGGUAGUGGAAUUCCCGGUGUAGCAGUGAAAUGCGUAGAGAUCGGGAGGAACAUCUGUGGCGAAGGCGACUGCCUGGACCAGCACUGACACUGAGGCACGAAAGCGUGGGGAGCAAACA